GAUGUGGUUUACUGAGGCUAUGAGACCCUAAAUGAAGGACCUGAGGAUUGAGCUGACUUCGUGCUCAUUCAUUAUACGUAUUAGGCUAAAAGAAAACAGACAAACAAAUGAUUAUGUCCAGUACAGCAGAUCAAAGAAGGAUCCUCAGAGAAAGUAUGGUGUGGACCAUCUUAUAGCAGGCUCAGUCUAAGUUUUCAAGGAGCCAGUCGGAGAAAAGCAGUAACUCUAGAGCCAUCCAGUGAAGUUGGUGACAGAAUAAUGGCUGCGAAGGCACUUCCCCAAGGGGAACAGUGAGAGAAAGCACAUUGCUGCAUCCUGUGGAGAUGUUCCAGGAUAUCUUCCACAGCAUUGUCCUGGAUGGCUUUAUUAUGAAUUGCUUGCAAGGCUAAAAGAGAAAAAAAAAAAUGUUUCAUGUGGCAUUUCCAUUUGCAACGCUGUUACAUCCAUUAGGAUGAAUGACACAUCAUGUCAUGGGUGGAUUCAUAGAAGAAGAAUUUUUAUCUUUAUGGAAAGAAAUUUGCUAAAUUAUCAGGAUAGGAUAUUGCCAAAUUACCUAAUAAUGAACUCUAUUUUAAAUGCGUCAGCCACAGAAAUAUUUAUAAAAGGAGCCUAUAGCUGCUAG
rnacentral:lncRNA from 1 species